rnacentral:miRNA from 1 species
AGUCAGCCUGUCCUUUAAAAAUUUGAGGCCAGGCAUUGACUUUUCUCUAGUUAUGAAAGUCCUAGAUGGCAU